rnacentral:rRNA from 1 species
GAUGAACGCUGGCGGCGUGCCUAAUACAUGCAAGUCGAGCGAACGGACGAGAAGCUUGCUUUUCUGAUGUUAGCGGCGGACGGGUGAGUAACACGUGGAUAACCUACCUAUAAGACUGGGAUAACUUCGGGAAACCGGAGCUAAUACCGGAUGAUAUUUUGAACCGCAUGGUUCAAAAGUGAAAGACGGUCUUGCUGUCACUUAUAGAUGGAUCCGCGCUGCAUUAGCUAGUUGGUAAGGUAACGGCUUACCAAGGCAACGAUGCAUAGCCGACCUGAGAGGGUGAUCGGCCACACUGGAACUGAGACACGGUCCAGACUCCUACGGGAGGCAGCAGUAGGGAAUCUUCCGCAAUGGGCGAAAGCCUGACGGAGCAACGCCGCGUGAGUGAUGAAGGUCUUCGGAUCGUAAAACUCUGUUAUUAGGGAAGAACAUAUGUGUAAGUAACUGUGCACAUCUUGACGGUACCUAAGCAGAAAGCCACGGCUAACUACGU